rnacentral:rRNA from 1 species
GGCAGACGGCUGAGUAACGCGUAAGCAACCUACCCAUUGGCGGGGGAUAACCCGGAGAAAUCCGAGCUAAUACCGCAUGUGGUCAUUUGCCUCAAGGUGGAUGACCAAAGCCUUCGGGCACCAGUGGAUGGGCUUGCGUCCCAUCAGGUAGUUGGUGAGGUAACGGCUCACCAAGCCAUCGACGGGUAGCCGGUGUGAGAGCACGACCGGCCAGAGGGGGACUGAGACACGGCCCCCACUCCUACGGGAGGCAGCAGCAGGGAAUCUUGCGCAAUGGGCGAAAGCCUGACGCAGCGACGCCGCGUGAAGGAAGAAGGCCUGCGGGUUGUAAACUUCUUUUCUGAGGGAAGACAUCCGACGGUACCUCAGGAAUAAGCCUCGGCUAACUACGUGCCAGCAGCCGCGGUAAUACGUAGGAGGCUAGCGUUGUCCGGAUUCACUGGGCGUAAAGGGAGCGCAGGUGGCUGAGUUCGUCGAUGGUGCAAGCUCCAGGCUCAACUUGGAGAGGUCUGUCGAUAUUGCUCGGCUUGAGGACGGUAGAGGAGCACGGAAUUCCUGGUGUAGUGGUGAAAUGCGUAGAUAUCAGGAGGAACACCGGUGGCGAAAGCGGUGCUCUGGGCCGUUCCUGACACUCAGGCUCGAAAGCGUGGGGGAGCGAACCGGAUUAGAUACCCGGGUAGUCCACGCCCUGAAAGAUGGAUGCUGGAUAUAGGGGGUAUCGACCCCCCCUGUGUCGAAGCUCACGCGUUAAGCAUCCCGCCUGGGAACUACGGUCGCAAGACUAAAACUCAAAGGAAUUGACGG